rnacentral:rRNA from 1 species
GACGAACGCUGGCGGCGUGCUUAACACAUGCAAGUCGAACGGAAAGGCCCUGCUUUUGUGGGGUGCUCGAGUGGCGAACGGGUGAGUAACACGCGAGUAACCUGCCCUUGACUUUGGGAUAACUUCAGGAAACUGGGGCUAAUACCGGAUAGGAGCUCCUGCUGCAUGGUGGGGGUUGGAAAGUUUCGGCGGUUGGGGAUGGACUCGCGGCUUACCAGCUUGUUGGUGGGGUAGUGGCUUACAAAGGGUUUGACGGGUAGCCGGCCUGAGAGGGUGACCGGCCACAUGGGGACUGAGAGACGGCCCAGAAGCCUACGGGAGGCAGCAGGGGGGAAUAUUGCGCAAUGGGCGGAAGCCUGAGGCAGCAACGCCGCGUGCGGGAUGACGUCCUUCGGGUUGUAAACCGCUUUCGCCGGUGACAAAGCGUGAUUGACGGUAAUGGGUAAAGAAGCACCGGCUAACUACGUG